CCUACGGGUGGCAGCAGUGGGGGAUAUUGCACAAUGGGGGAAACCCUGAUGCAGCGACGCCGCGUGUGGGAAGACGGUCCUCGGGAUUGUAAACCACUGUCCCCAGGGACGAAGAUGACGGUACCUGGGGAGGAAGCUCCGGCUAACUACGUGCCAGCAGCCGCGGUAAUACGUAGGGGGCGAGCGUUAUCCGGAUUCACUGGGUGGAAAGGGAGCGUAGACGGCCAUGCAAGCCAGGGGUGAAAGCCCGGGGCCCAACCCCGGGACUGCCCUUGGAACUGCAUGGCUGGAGUGCGGGAGGGGCAGGCGGAAUUCCUGGUGUAGCGGUGAAAUGCGUAGAUAUCAGGAGGAACACCGGCGGCGAAGGCGGCCUGCUGGACCGCGACUGACGUUGAGGCGCGAAAGCGUGGGGAGCGAACAGGAUUAGAUACCCUGGUAGUC
rnacentral:rRNA from 1 species